UUUUUUAAAUUGCUGAAUUUUGGGGCAGAGGUUCUUCGUUACGAACGCAAAGAAAGAUCAUUUUUUGAUUGGUCAACAUGAAAAGUUAUUGAGGAUGAGCACGAUGAGGUUCUCCCAAAUCCGAAGAAUAAAAAUUUCACCUCGGUAGUGCUUAAAUUGGUAUAUUGUGAGGUUUUAGUGUUUUUGACAUUCUGGGAGGUAGGAAUCUCCGGUUUAGGCAAUUCUCGAUGUGUUGUUCUUGUAUAAUCAUUGGCCAUGUUAUUUUACCGUUACUUCUCCCAUUCUUCAAGAAUAUACAUUUUGUGUUUCUUGAUUUCGGACAAAAAUUGUGAUUCAAAAUCUUUUUUGCAUUAUUGUUGGAACUUAGGGCAUGGGAAAGUGUGGGAAAUCAUCCUUGAAGCUAAGUGCGACAUCGUUUUUGGGAUCAUGGAGUAAAGACAAGCGAUUUGUGGAUGGUUCAAGAAUGCAGUUCGUCAUCGAGGCAUCAUGCAGUGUAGCUAUGGUUUGGAGAUUUGGGUGAGCUCCUCGCGUUAUAAGUAUUCAUGCUCUCUUUCACAUUGAUUAGAUUUAUCUCUAUUUUGUAUUUUGGAGAUGGUUUCUACAUAUAUAUGUAUUCUAUAUUUCCCUUUGUACCGAGAUUGUAUUAAAAGCUCUUGUACUAAUUUCUCCUGGUCUUGGGGCUUCAUUCUAUAUUAGUCUUUUAAUUAAGUUCAUUUAUGAUAUUUUCUCUA